rnacentral:tRNA from 2 species
GGAAUUGUAGCUUAAAUAUAGAGCGUUGAGCUUUUAACUCAAAUGUGAAGGCAGUGCUUCCAAUUCUA